UACAGAGGUCCCGAGCGUUGUUCGGAUUCAUUGGGCGUAAAGGGUGCGUAGGCGGCGGGGUAAGUCUGAUGUGAAAUCCUGGGGCUCAACCCUGGAACUGCAUUGGAUACUGCCUUGCUAGAGAACUGGAGAGGAGACUGGAAUUUACGGUGUAGCAGUGAAAUGCGUAGAGAUCGUAAGGAAGACCAGUGGCGAAGGCGAGUCUCUGGACAGUUACUGACGCUGAGGCACGAAGGCCAGGGGAGCAAACGGG
rnacentral:rRNA from 1 species